ACAACUGUCCAGGUUUCUGGGGCAACAGGGACCGAUGUUCUAAGAUCUGGAACCAGCUUACCUGUAUCCGAAGUAGCAGUGAGCCCUGGAUCAUCACCAGGACGGUCAAGAGCAACUGCAGUAUCUAGUCAAGGCUCUCAGCCCACUGUCGCAUUAUCUGGAGCAACAGGGACUAGUGCUGGACCAUCGGGCACCCGUUCCACCUCCUCUGGAAUACCGGCAACACCUGGAUCAACCACAGGAAGGGCAGCAGGAGCUGGGACCCCGGCUGUAGAUUCCCAGCAAACUGCCAGCUUGCCUGCAGCUGCAAGGCCGACCCCGCUAGGACCAGGAACCAGUGCGCCUUCAGGUGAAACAUCAGAAAGCCGUUCAUCAGUACCUGGAGGAUCAGAAACCACUCAACAACCUGGCGCAGGUUCAGAGUCCCCCACCCUGUCGCCUGGGGUUACAAGGACGACUGCUCUAAGAGGAUCUGAGACCCGUGUACCUUCAACUGGAGUAUCAGGCUUGCCUGGCUCAACACAAGGAGGAUCCGCAGCGACCGGAGGAAGUGGUGCAGGUUCAGGGCCUACCGCCCCAGUCUCAGGAGAAACAAGGACCAGUGUUAUAUCAGGAACCAACGUACCUGUCUCUGGAGCACCAGUGACCCCUGGAUCAUCAGCAGGAAGUUCGGGAGCACCUGGAGCAGGUGGUCCAGGUUCAGAGACAGCUUCCCCAUUGUCUGGAGCAGCAGGGACAAGUGCUACAGGAUCAGGAACCAGCAUCCCUCCAUCUGGAGCACCCGUAACCCCUCAACCACCCCUCAUAAGCACAGGAGCAAGUGCAGGACCUCCUGCAAGCUCAGAGUCAACCGUCACAUUACCUGGAGCAACAGGGACUGAUGUUCUAAGAUCUGGAACCAGCUUACCUGUAUCUGGAGGAGCCGUGACCCCUGCGCCAUCACCAGGAGGGUCAUCAGCCACUGCAGGACCUGCUGUAGGUUCACAAACAACUGUCCAGGUUUCUGGGGCAACAGGGACCGAUGUUCUAAGGUCUGGAGCCAGCUUACCUGUAUCCGGAGCAGCAGUGAGCCCUGGAUCAUCACCAGGACGGUCAAGAGCAACUGCAGUAUCUGGUGAAGGCUCUCAGCCCACUGUCGCAUUAUCUGGAGCAACAGGGACUAGUGCUGGACCAUCGGGCACCCGUUCCACCUCCUCUGCAAUACCGGCAACACCUGGAUCAACCACAGGAAGGGCAGCAGGAGCUGGGACCCCGGCUGUAGAUUCCCAGCAAACUGCCAGCUUGCCUGCAGCUGCAAGGCCGACUGCGCUAGGACCAGGAACCAGUGCGCCUUCAGGUGAAACAUCAGAAAGCCGUUCAUCAGUACCUGGAGGAUCAGAAACCACUCAACAACCUGGCGCAGGUUCAGAGUCCCCCACCCUGUCGCCUGGGGUUACAAGGACGACUGCUCUAAGAGGAUCUGAGACCCGUGUACCUUCAACUGGAGUAUCAGGCUUGCCUGGCUCAACACAAGGAGGAUCCGCAGCGACCGGAGGAAGUGGUGCAGGUUCAGGGCCUACCGCCCCAGUCUCAGGAGAAACAAGGACCAGUGUUAUAUCAGGAACCAACGUACCUGUCUCUGGAGCACCAGUGACCCCUGGAUCAUCAGCAGGAAGUUCAGGAGCACCUGGAGCAGGUGGUCCAGGUUCAGAGACAGCUUCCCCAUUGUCUGGAGCAGCAGGGACAAGUGCUACAGGAUCAGGAACCAGCAUCCCUCCAUCUGGAGCACCCGUAACCCCUGAACCACCCCUCAUAAGCACAGGAGCAAGUGCAGGACCUCCUGCAAGCUCAGAGUCAACCGUCACAUUACCUGGAGCAACAGGGACUGAUGUUCUAAGAUCUGGAACCAGCUUACCUGUAUCUGGAGGAGCCGUGACCCCUGCGUCAUCACCAGGAGGGUCAUCAGCAACUGCAGGACCUGGUGUAGGUUCAGCAACAACUGUCCAGGUUUCUGGGGCAACAGGGACCGAUGUUCUAAGAUCUGGAACCAGCUUACCUGUAUCCGAAGUAGCAGUGAGCCCUGGAUCAUCACCAGGACGGUCAAGAGCAACUGCAGUAUCUAGUCAAGGCUCUCAGCCCACUGUCGCAUUAUCUGGAGCAACAGGGACUAGUGCUGGACCAUCGGGCACCCGUUCCACCUCCUCUGCAAUACCGGCAACACCUGGAUCAACCACAGGAAGGGCAGCAGGAGCUGGGACCCCGGCUGUAGAUUCCCAGCAAACUGCCAGCUUGCCUGCAGCUGCAAGGCCGACUGCGCUAGGACCAGGAACCAGUGCGCCUUCAGGUGAAACAUCAGAAAGCCGUUCAUCAGUACCUGGAGGAUCAGAAACCACUCAACAACCUGGCGCAGGUUCAGAGUCCCCCACCCUGUCGCCUGGGGUUACAAGGACGACUGCUCUAAGAGGAUCUGAGACCCGUGUACCUUCAACUGGAGUAUCAGGCUUGCCUGGCUCAACACAAGGAGGAUCCGCAGCGACCGGAGGAAGUGGUGCAGGUUCAGGGCCUACCGCCCCAGUCUCAGGAGAAACAAGGACCAGUGUUAUAUCAGGAACCAACGUACCUGUCUCUGGAGCACCAGUGACCCCUGGAUCAUCAGCAGGAAGUUCAGGAGCACCUGGAGCAGGUGGUCCAGGUUCAGAGACAGCUUCCCCAUUGUCUGGAGCAGCAGGGACAAGUGCUACAGGAUCAGGAACCAGCAUCCCUCCAUCUGGAGCACCCGUAACCCCUGAACCACCCCUCAUAAGCACAGGAGCAAGUGCAGGACCUCCUGCAAGCUCAGAGUCAACCGUCACAUUACCUGGAGCAACAGGGACUGAUGUUCUAAGAUCUGGAACCAGCUUACCUGUAUCUGGAGGAGCCGUGACCCCUGCGUCAUCACCAGGAGGGUCAUCAGCAACUGCAGGACCUGGUGUAGGUUCAGCAACAACUGUCCAGGUUUCUGGGGCAACAGGGACCGAUGUUCUAAGAUCUGGAACCAGCUUACCUGUAUCCGAAGUAGCAGUGAGCCCUGGAUCAUCACUAGGACGGUCAAGAGCAACUGCAGUAUCUAGUCAAGGCUCUCAGCCCACUGUCGCAUUAUCUGGAGCAACAGGGACUAGUGCUGGACCAUCGGGCACCCGUUCCACCUCCUCUGGAAUACCGGCAACACCUGGAUCAACCACAGGAAGGGCAGCAGGAGCUGGGACCCCGGCUGUAGAUUCCCAGCAAACUGCCAGCUUGCCUGCAGCUGCAAGGCCGACCCCGCUAGGACCAGGAACCAGUGCGCCUUCAGGUGAAACAUCAGAAAGCCGUUCAUCAGUACCUGGAGGAUCAGAAACCACUCAACAACCUGGCGCAGGUUCAGAGUCCCCCACCCUGUCGCCUGGGGUUACAAGGACGACUGCUCUAAGAGGAUCUGAGACCCGUGUACCUUCAACUGGAGUAUCAGGCUUGCCUGGCUCAACACAAGGAGGAUCCGCAGCGACCGGAGGAAGUGGUGCAGGUUCAGGGCCUACCGCCCCAGUCUCAGGAGAAACAAGGACCAGUGUUAUAUCAGGAACCAACGUACCUGUCUCUGGAGCACCAGUGACCCCUGGAUCAUCAGCAGGAAGUUCGGGAGCACCUGGAGCAGGUGGUCCAGGUUCAGAGACAGCUUCCCCAUUGUCUGGAGCAGCAGGGACAAGUGCUACAGGAUCAGGAACCAGCAUCCCUCCAUCUGGAGCACCCGUAACCCCUCAACCACCCCUCAUAAGCACAGGAGCAAGUGCAGGACCUCCUGCAAGCUCAGAGUCAACCGUCACAUUACCUGGAGCAACAGGGACUGAUGUUCUAAGAUCUGGAACCAGCUUACCUGUAUCUGGAGGAGCCGUGACCCCUGCGCCAUCACCAGGAGGGUCAUCAGCCACUGCAGGACCUGGUGUAGGUUCAGCAACAACUGUCCAGGCUUCUGGGGCAACAGGGGCUGAUGUUCUAAGAUCUGGAACCAGCUUACCUGUAUCCGGAGCAGCAGUGAGCCCUGGAUCAUCACCAGGACGGUCAAGAGCAACUGCAGUAUCUAGUCAAGGCUCUCAGCCCACUGUCGCAUUAUCUGGAGCAACAGGGACUAGUGUCGGACCAUCGGGCACCCGUUUCUCCUCCUCUGCAAUACCGGCAACACCUGGAUCAACCACAGGAAGGGCAGCAGGAGCUGGGACCCCGGGUGUAGAUUCCCAGCAAACUGCCAGCUUGCCUGCAGCUGCACGGCCGACUGCGCUAGGACCAGGAACCAGUGCGCCUUCAGGUGAAACAUCAGAAAGCCGUUCAUCAGUACCUGGAGGAUCAGAAACCACUCAACAACCUGGCGCAGGUUCAGAGUCCCCCACCCUGUCGCCUGGGGUUACAAGGACGACUGCUCUAAGAGGAUCUGAGACCCGUGUACCUUCAACUGGAGUAUCAGGCUUGCCUGGCUCAACACAAGGAGGAUCCGCAGCGACAGGAGGAAGUGGUGCAGGUUCAGGGCCUACCGCCCCAGUCUCAGGAGAAACAAGGACCAGUGUUAUAUCAGGAACCAACGUACCUGUCUCUGGAGCACCAGUGACCCCUGGAUCAUCAGCAGGAAGUUCGGGAGCACCUGGAACAGGUGGUCCAGGUUCAGAGACAGCUUCCCCAUUGUCUGGAGCAGCAGGGACAAGUGCUACAGGAUCAGGAACCAGCAUCCCUCCAUCUGGAGCACCCGUAACCCCUCAACCACCCCUCAUAAGCACAGGAGCAAGUGCAGGACCUCCUGCAAGCUCAGAGUCAACCGUCACAUUACCUGGAGCAACAGGGAAUGAUGUUCUAAGAUCUGGAACCAGCUUACCUGUAUCUGGAGGAGCCGUGACCCCUGCGUCAUCACCAGGAGGGUCAUCAGCCACUGCAGGACCUGCUGUAGGUUCACAAACAACUGUCCAGGUUUCUGGGGCAACAGGGACCGAUGUUCUAAGGUCUGGAGCCAGCUUACCUGUAUCCGGAGCAGCAGUGAGCCCUGGAUCAUCACCAGGACGGUCAAGAGCAACUGCAGUAUCUGGUGAAGGCUCUCAGCCCACUGUCGCAUUAUCUGGAGCAACAGGGACUAGUGCUGGACCAUCGGGCACCCGUUCCACCUCCUCUGCAAUACCGGCAACACCUGGAUCAACCACAGGAAGGGCAGCAGGAGCUUGGACCCCGGCUGUAGAUUCCCAGCAAACUGCCAGCUUGCCUGCAGCUGCAAGGCCGACCCCGCUAGGACCAGCAACCAGUGCGCCUUCAGGUGAAACAUCAGAAAGCCGUUCAUCAGUACCUGGAGGAUCAGAAACCACUCAACAACCUGGCCCAGGUUCAGAGUCCCCCACCCUGUCGCCUGGUGUUACAAGGACGACUGCUCUAAGAGGAUCUGAGACCCGUGUACCUUCAACUGGAGUAUCAGGCUUGCCUGGCUCAACACAAGGAGGAUCCGCAGCGACCGGAGGAAGUGGUGCAGGUUCAGGGCCUACCGCCCCAGUCUCAGGAGAAACAAGGACCAGUGUUAUAUCAGGAACCAACGUACCUGUCUCUGGAGCACCAGUGACCCCUGGAUCAUCAGCAGGAAGUUCGGGAGCACCUGGAGCAGGUGGUCCAGGUUCAGAGACAGCUUCCCCAUUGUCUGGAGCAGCAGGGACAAGUGCUACAGGAUCAGGAACCAGCAUCCCUCCAUCUGGAGCACCCGUAACCCCUCAACCACCCCUCAUAAGCACAGGAGCAAGUGCAGGACCUCCUGCAAGCUCAGAGUCAACCGUCACAUUACCUGGAGCAACAGGGACUGAUGUUCUAAGAUCUGGAACCAGCUUACCUGUAUCUGGAGGAGCCGUGACCCCUGCGCCAUCACCAGGAGGGUCAUCAGCAACUGCAGGACCUGGUGUAGGUUCAGCAACAACUGUCCAGGCUUCUGGGGCAACAGGGGCUGAUGUUCUAAGAUCUGGAACCAGCUUACCUGUAUCCGGAGUAGCAGUGAGCCCUGGAUCAUCACCAGGGAGGUCCAGAGCAACUGGAGUAUCUAGUCAAGGCUCUCAGCCCACUGUCGCAUUAUCUGGAGCAACAGGGACUAGUGUCGGACCAUCGGGCACCCGUUUCUCCUCCUCUGCAAUACCGGCAACACCUGGAUCAACCACAGGAAUGGCAGCAGGAGCUGGGACCCCGGCUGUAGAUUCCCAGCAAACUGCCAGCUUGCCUGCAGCUGCAAGGCCGACCCCACUAGGACCAGGAACCAGUGCGCCUUCAGGUGAAACAUCAGAAAGCCGUUCAUCAGUACCUGGAGGAUCAGAAACCACUCAACAACCUGGCGCAGGUUCAGAGUCCCCCACCCUGUCGCCUGGGGUUACAAGGACGACUGCUCUAAGAGGAUCUGAGACCCGUGUACCUUCAACUGGAGUAUCAGGCUUGCCUGGCUCAACACAAGGAGGAUCCGCAGCGACCGGAGGAAGUGGUGCAGGUUCAGGGCCUACCGCCCCAGUCUCAGGAGAAACAAGGACCAGUGUUAUAUCAGGAACCAACGUACCUGUCUCUGGAGCUCCAGUGACCCCUGGAUCAUCAGCAGGAAGUUCGGGAGCACCUGGAACAGGUGGUCCAGGUUCAGAGACAGCUUCCCCAUUGUCUGGAGCAGCAGGGACAAGUGCUACAGGAUCAGGAACCAGCAUCCCUCCAUCUGGAGCACCCGUAACCCCUGAACCACCCCUCAUAAGCACAGGAGCAAGUGCAGGACCUCCUGCAAGCUCAGAGUCAACCGUCACAUUACCUGGAGCAACAGGGACUGAUGUUCUAAGAUCUGGAACCAGCUUACCUGUAUCUGGAGGAGCCGUGACCCCUGCGUCAUCACCAGGAGGGUCAUCAGCCACUGCAGGACCUGCUGUAGGUUCACAAACAACUGUCCAGGUUUCUGGGGCAACAGGGACCGAUGUUCUAAGGUCUGGAGCCAGCUUACCUGUAUCCGGAGCAGCAGUGAGCCCUGGAUCAUCACCAGGACGGUCAAGAGCAACUGCAGUAUCUGGUGAAGGCUCUCAGCCCACUGUCGCAUUAUCUGGAGCAACAGGGACUAGUGCUGGACCAUCAGGAACCCAUUCCGCCUCCUCUGGAAUACCGGCAACACCUGGAUCAACCACAGGAAGGGCAGCAGGAGCUGGGACCCUGGGUGUAGAUUCCCAGCAAAGUGCCAGCUUGCUUGCAGCUGCAAGGCCGACCGCGCUAGGACCAGGAACCAGUGCGCCUUCAGGUGAAACAUCAGAAAGCCGUUCAUCAGUACCUGGAGGAUCAGAAACCACUCAACAACCUGGCGCAGGUUCAGAGUCCCCCACCCUGUCGCCUGGGGUUACAAGGACGACUGCUCUAAGAGGAUCUGAGACCCGUGUACCUUCAACUGGAGUAUCAGGCUUGCCUGGCUCAACACAAGGAGGAUCCGCAGCGACCGGAGGAAGUGGUGCAGGUUCAGGGCCUACCGCCCCAGUCUCAGGAGAAACAAGGACCAGUGUUAUAUCAGGAACCAACGUACCUGUCUCUGGAGCACCAGUGACCCCUGGAUCAUCAGCAGGAAGUUCGGGAGCACCUGGAGCAGGUGGUCCAGGUUCAGAGACAGCUUCCCCAUUGUCUGGAGCAGCAGGGACAAGUGCUACAGGAUCAGGAACCAGCAUCCCUCCAUCUGGAGCACCCGUAACCCCUGAACCACCCCUCAUAAGCACAGGAGCAAGUGCAGGACCUCCUGCAAGCUCAGAGUCAACCGUCACAUUACCUGGAGCAACAGGGACUGAUGUUCUAAGAUCUGGAACCAGCUUACCUGUAUCUGGAGGAGCCGUGACCCCUGCGCCAUCACCAGGAGGGUCAUCAGCCACUGCAGGACCUGCUGUAGGUUCACAAACAACUGUCCAGGUUUCUGGGGCAACAGGGACCGAUGUUCUAAGGUCUGGAGCCAGCUUACCUGUAUCCGGAGCAGCAGUGAGCCCUGGAUCAUCACCAGGACGGUCAAGAGCAACUGCAGUAUCUGGUGAAGGCUCUCAGCCCACUGUCGCAUUAUCUGGAGCAACAGGGACUAGUGCUGGACCAUCGGGCACCCGUUCCGCCUCCUCUGGAAUACCGGCAACACCUGGAUCAACCACAGGAAGGGCAGCAGGAGCUGGGACCCAGGCUGUAGAUUCCCAGCAAACUGCCAGCUUUCCUGCAGCUGCAAGGCCGACUGCGCUAGGACCAGGAACCAGUGCGCCUUCAGGUGAAACAUCAGAAAGCCGUUCAUCAGUACCUGGAGGAUCAGAAACCACUCAACAACCUGGCGCAGGUUCAGAGUCCCCCACCCUGUCGCCUGGGGUUACAAGGACGACUGCUCUAAGAGGAUCUGAGACCCGUGUACCUUCAACUGGAGUAUCAGGCUUGCCUGGCUCAACACAAGGAGGAUCCGCAGUGACCGGAGGAAGUGGUGCAGGUUCAGGGCCUACCGCCCCAGUCUCAGGAGAAACAAGGACCAGUGUUAUAUCAGGAACCAACGUACCUGUCCCUGGAGCACCAGUGACCCCUGGAUCAUCAGCAGGAAGUUCGGGAGCACCUGGAGCAGGUGGUCCAGGUUCAGAGACAGCUUCCCAUUGUCUGGAGCAGCAGGGACAAGUGCUACAGGAUCAGGAACCAGCAUCCCUCCAUCUGGAGCACCCGUAA
rnacentral:lncRNA from 1 species